rnacentral:lncRNA from 1 species
AAGCGGAUCGGGUGCAAAGGAGGUUUUCCCCAGCAAGGGUUGCCUGUUGCCCAACAGCAUUACCAUUCCCCAGCAGGGUGGAGAUUGGAGUGUUGGCGAGUUCCUCAGCAGAGUGCUUCGAGCUCCCUAGAAGAGUCCCUUGAGGGGGAUGCCUUUUUUAUACAUUCAUCAUGUAGAUAGGCAUAGCAUAUUGCAUAACAAAUCGCGUAGCAUUUCCAUGAUUAUGGAGCAUUACGCUAAAAAA